rnacentral:rRNA from 1 species
AGUCGAGGGGUAACAUUGUGCUUGCACAGAUGACGACCGGCGCACGGGUGCGUAACGCGUAUAGAACCUACCUUUUACAGAGGAAUAGCCUUUAGAAAUGAAGAUUAAUGCCUCAUAGUAUUGUAGACUGGCAUCAGUUUAUAAUUAAAGAUUUAUCGGUAAAAGAUGGCUAUGCGUCCUAUUAGUUAGUUGGUAAGGUAACGGCUUACCAAGACAGCGAUAGGUAGGGGUCCUGAGAGGGAGAUCCCCCACACUGGUACUGAGACACGGACCAGACUCCUACGGGAGGCAGCAGUGAGGAAUAUUGGACAAUGGAGGAGACUCUGAUCCAGCCAUGCCGCGUGUAGGAAGAAUGCCCUAUGGGUUGUAAACUACUUUUAUACAGGAAGAAACACUGGUAUGUAUACCAGCUUGACGGUAC